AAUGGGCAACAAACCAGCGCCUCCAGGACCGGCCGCCCUGGCCUCAAAAUCUGUUUUAUACUUAUCAGG
rnacentral:rRNA from 1 species